CCGCCGGCACACACCGACAGCCGCGCCGCUAAUGUUUAGCCCCGGGGGUUCGAUUCCGCUCGGCGGGAAGCGCUCUCGGACCCGGUUGGUGGCGCACAAGGUGACACACGGUGACACCCGGUAAGUUAGCGCUGCGGGCUAGAAAAUACGGCCUGUGCUUCACUCCAAUUAUUAUCCAGCAUGCUGAAGGAGAUCAAACUGAUCAACUGGUCCUCGUAAAGUAGACACGCCUGAGACAGGUACACACACACCAACAAGACACCUCUUUAAAUGAAUAAUUCGGCACAUAACGACCUUCUGGGCUUCAGCCGUUCUCCACCUUGAAUUCAUGAAGAAAGGUUUUCUCUCCAAAGCUUCCACGGUGAGAAUCAGACUGAAAGCUUGUGGGGGAAACACACUUCGACGUGAAACAUCUGACACUGAGUGGCGGCUGCUG
ensembl:lncRNA